AAUAUGAUACUAUACAUUAUUAAACCACCUUGUACUUCAUCCUCCAAACAUUGUGCAAGAGUCAAAUAGAACAUUGCAGAGAUUAAAAGAGACUUAAUUAGAAGUGUUUGAGGAACUCCACAACUGAAAAACUAAAAGCACGAGAUGCAACUUGAACAUGAGAAACCCCUGCCUCUUUAGCCAGAGUUUUGAAUUCUCUCUCUGUUCUAUCCUUUCGCUUUGGAUUCAUGUUUGUAAAGAGCAAAUAUGUCUGUAGCACGCUUUUAUCUGCAGCAUUAGCUCCAGUAGUUUCUGGAACUACCAAGUCCACUACUAUCACUUUUCCAUUACUUGGCAAAGCUUCAUAGCAAUUCUUUAACACUUUUAAGCAGGCUUGAUCAUCCCACAUGUGAAGUACCCACUUAAUGAAAAUGGCUUCUCCUUUUGGAACACUCACGAACAUAUCUCCCGCAACAUGCUCGAUACCUGUAUAAGAGGGCGAUUUUUCUAUAACUGAAGCCAAAUCAUA
rnacentral:misc_RNA from 1 species